UACGUAGGUGGCAAGCGUUGUCCGGAUUUACUGGGCGUAAAGAGCGCGCAGGCGGUCGUUCAAGUCGAGUGUGAAAGCCCCCGGCUCAACUGGGGAGGGUCAUUCGAUACUGAUCGACUCGAAGGCAGGAGAGGGAAGUGGAAUUCCCGGUGUAGUGGUGAAAUGCGUAGAUAUCGGGAGGAACACCAGUGGCGAAGGCGGCUUGCCAGAACGCGCUAGACGGUGAGGGAUGAAAGCUGGGGGAGCAAACCGG
rnacentral:rRNA from 1 species